GCUAAAAAAUCUCUCUAUUAUGUCUGUCCGUCUCUCGGUCCAUCUGUCUUGUCUAUCCAUCCACCUGAUAGAAGAUCCAUCGAUCUUCUAUCUAUCUCUUGAAGUCGCCCUUAGUAUGUUUGCAGCAGAUGGCAAGUUUAAUACCGUAUCAGUGCCAGAAUGUGAGAUGAGCCGCAUAUCAAUUUAAAUAAACCAACAAUGGUUUGAAGGAUCGCACCCAUCACCCCUCGAUUCCUAGCCCCAGGUAUUUCAGACACAGGAAGUAUGGUCACCUGCCCUGAACAAGAACAAUCUUAAGGCACCACGAAGGUGGAAAAAAUAGAGAAGGAUUCCCUCAAGUGGAACUUAGCUAAUUUUCAGCUGUAACUCCAGUUCAGGAUCCACCAACAGGACUGGAAAGUGGGUCGGACCUGAGGGGGUGGUGGUGAGUGAAAGACAGGAAUAAAGAGGAAUCUCAGUCUCAUUUCAAUGCCAGAGCCGGGACGCUUGAAAGCUCCUAGAAAUAGCAGUAAGAAAGCAACAGGUCGUUUUGCUCAACGUUUUUGGAAGACUUUCGUGAGAACUUAAAUGUUGCGGAAGAAGUGUGCCAGAAAUGGUGCACCGAGUUUUUCGAUGGGAAAUUGCGCCAUUGUGCGAAUGCAGAAGCUGCUUUUGCAACCUCGGAUACUCGUGCUCCAAAGUCGAAGAACUUCCGUGGCUUUUCCUUCCAGAGGCCCGCCCCACCUCCGCUCGGCCAAGAGCAGCGUUGCAGAGGCGGCAACGCAAGGAGGGCUCCGCCAGUUGCGGCGUUGGCGGGAACGAACAAAUCGAUUCCGCUCGGAAGCCUCGCCUUCCUCGCGAACCAGGGCAACUGUCAGUUGGCGCGCAGAAGAAAUUACGCGCGUAAAAAGGGGAAAAGAAGAAAGAACCCUAACAACACCAAAAGAAAAUAUAAACAGAAAAAGAAAAGAAGGAAAUAAUUAAGUAUAAUUAUAUUGAUUUAUAUAAAUUGGGUCACGCUCAGCAUCUUAAUUUGAGCACAUUUAAAUUGAAGUUAAAUGUAUUCAGAAUAGAAAUUUAGAUCUUGUCAUUUGCCCAGUAUUAAAGCAAAGCCUCAUCUUUUGUUUCACUUACAUACAGCACCUAGUUGCCAAGAUCUACUGUGGCAUAAGAAUAUCAGGAUAAUGUAAUAGAAGAAGUCACUGAAUCUAAAAAAUAUUCAAGUUGCACAUAAACUUGCUCUUCCUGAAACUAUUCUAUGCGACCUGUCCCUUAACAUCACACUUCGAUUCUUACUAUCUACAGAGCCCCUGACUACGACAUCGCACAUGCGAACAUGUUAACCACACUACUAACAUGGGCUAUCUCUUGCCCAUAUCCUCUCAUCUUCCUGGGUGACCUCAAUCUACCUCUUAUUAACUGGAUAACAAACAAAUGUACAACUGAACCCAUCCAUACUACUCUAUACAACGCUGUUACAAAUCUAGGUCUUGAACAACCAGUAACUAACAAUACAAGACUAAACAACUGCCUUGACCUCAUCUUCUGCAACAACACAAACUCAAUUUAUGGACUACAACAUGAUAGUUUCAAUUUACCCCCUUACAAAAGUAGUUUCAAUUUACCCCCUUACAAAAAUCAUCAUAAUAAUGGUAUUCCAAACUACAAUUUCAAAAAAGCCAAUGAUGACCUUAUAAACAUCGACCUCUCAUCUCUUGACUGGCAAAAUCUAUUCUCAACCUGUAUCACUGCUGAAGACUAUUAUAAAGUUUUCCUACUUGAAGUCAAUAGAGGCAUUAAACUUUACGUACCACAAACCACCACCAAAAUCAGAAAAAACAAAUUACUCAUACCAAUAAAAAAGCUCCAAUCCAAAAAAAAAAUCCCUUUGGAGAAGAAACAAAAAGGGCUAUGUAGCUAAUUUCAAAAACCACUACAGAAAUAUAUGCAACCAAAUAAAAAUUGAAUGCACCAAUUACCACACCAAGCAAGAAGAAGACCUUCUGCGCACUAAUUCCAAUCGUGCUUUUAUAAUUUUGUAAACAACAAAGUUAAAGACUCGAGAUUCAUCCCACCACUAAAAGAAUCUAACGGCAAAGAAUAUAAUGAUGAAACAGUUAAAGCAAAUCUCUUUAACACAUUCUUUGGCUCAGUCUUUGUUAACAGUAAUAGCUCAUAUCCGACAUCCCCCAAUCGUACCAACAAUGAGUACAACGAGCUAACACAAAUAGAUUUCACAGAAGAUAAUGUUGAAAAAGCUCUUUGCAAACUGAAACCAUCCCUAUCUAUUGGACCUGAUGGACUACUUCAUACUUCUUAAAAAAGCUUUCCACUAAUAUAGCAGAACCCCUAAGCAUAAUCUUUGAAAAAGCUUUCAUGACCAGUUCCUUUCCCAAACUUUGGUCAUUAGCCACGGCCAUCCCUGUCUUCAAAAAAGGAGACCCCAGUCUAGUUGAAAAUUACAGACCAAUCUCUCUAUGCUGCAUCACCUGCAAAGUAAUGGAAUCUAUCAUCAACCAAUCCAUUACCCUCCACCUAGAAACAAACAACCUACUCUCUAAUAAACAAAUUUUCAGAAAAAAAUUAUCAUGUAAUUUACAACUUCUCCACUGCAAAAACAUAUGGACUACAAAUCUUGAUCAAGGCAAAGCAAUAGAUGCAAUUUACACAGACUUCUGUAAAGCUUUUGACUCAGUAGUACAUGAUAAACUUCUCCUCAAACUAAAAUCCUAUGGCAUUUCAGGACCCCUCCACAAUUGGAUAACAGCUUUCCUGUCAAAUAGACAACAAGUGGUCAAAAUUGGCAGUAUUCUAUCAAACCCUGUUCCUGUCAAUAGCGGCAUUCCACAAGGCAGCGUUCUUGGACCAACACUCUUCAUAUUAUACAUUAAUGAUCUCUUGUGAACAUAUUAUAGGUAAUUGUGUUCUCUUUGCGGACGAUGUCAAACUAUUUAACACCACCAACAAUACAGCUACCCUUCAAAAAGACCUUGACUUUGUGUCAGAAUGGUCUAAAACUUGGCAACUCCAAAUCUCAACCAGCAAAUGCUCUGUCUUACACAUUGGAAAAAAGAAUCUAAACACUAAAUGUUUAGUGCAACUACAUCGCAAAAAAGGCUUUAAGAGUUGUAAACCUUAUCUUGCGUAGCUUCUUCUCCAGAAACACUACACUACUAACCAGAGCAUAUAAAACAUUUGCUAGACCAAUUCUUGAAAACAGCUUGCCUGUCUGGAACCCAUACCACAUUUCAGACAUCAAUACAAUUGAACGUGUCCAGAAAUAUUUUACAAGAAGAGUUCUCCACUCCUCUGAAUACAACAAAAUACCUUAUGCCACCAGACUUGAAAUCCUGGGUUUAGAAAACUUAGAACUCCGCCGCCUUCGAUAUGACCUGAGUUUAACUCAUAGAAUCAUCUAUUGCAAUGUCCUUCUUGUUGAAGACUACUUCAGCUUCAAUUGCAACAAUACACGAGCACACAAUAGAUUUAAGCUUAAUGUUAACCACUCCAACCUUGAUUGCAGAAAAUAUGAUUUCAGUAACAGAGUUGUUAAUACUUGGAAUACACUAUCUGACUCUGUGGUCUCUUCCCAAAAUCCCCAAAGCUUUAACCAAAAACUGUUUACUAUUGGCCUCACCCCAUUCCUAAGAGGUCUGUAAGGGGCGUGCAUAAGGUCUGUAAGGGGCGUGCAUAACAAGCGUCCCUACCGUUCCUGUCUAUUGUUUCCUUUCAUUAUAUCCAAUCAAUAUAGUUAUCACAUACUUAAGCUUAUAUAUAUGCUUAUAUGUUGUAUAGUUAUUUCAUGCUUAUGCUUAUAUAAACUGUUGUGACAAAAUAAAUAAAUAAAAAAUAAAGAAAGAAAGAAACAUGAAAUAUUUUAAUUAAAUAUAUCUGUUUAAUACUAUCUACUCUUGUGAUGACGGUGCGCCUAUUGCCUAAAACUAAAUAACUUCACAAAUACUGGAAAUUCACAGAACACAUGCAGAUUUCAAUUGAAAGAAUAUGCCAGAUACAGUUUAAAAAUACAAAAACUUCUUGUUAUCUGCUGGAAUAAAUACUCAGAUCCUCAAGAUAGGGGUGAAAUCUACUUAUCUUCCCUACCGGUUUAGAAGUGCACACACUCUGCGCGUGAGCGAAACCCUUCUGCGCAUGCGGAGAGGGUAAAAAACAGGUAAUGAUGACCUGGAAGGUGGGCAGAGCCUUGUGCUGCCAUUUCUACCAGUUCUCCGAACCAUCCACCGCCAUCGCUACCGGAUCGGCCAAACCGGUCCGAACUGGUAGCAUUUCACCCGGAUAGUUCCAUUUUGCUAUAAAAUGUCUGGAAAGCACUAAGAAGUACAUUUUAGGAAUUCCUAUUAGUAAUAUACAUUGGUACACUAUUACUAAAUCAACAAGCUAUUGCAGUUAAAUAAAUUUAUUUCACAGGGAGGCUUGCUUCAUAUUUAUAUAAAUAUCUAACCCCACAGCAUUAAGUAAAAAUGUAAUAAUUCAGAACCGCCUAGAAAAACAGCAUA